AGUGAACGCUGGCGGCGUGCCUAAUACAUGCAAGUCGAACGGAGUGGCGCACGGGUGAGUAAUGUAUAGCUAAUCUGUCCUACACUAGAGGACAACAGUUGGAAACGACUGCUAAUACUCUAUAGUGUAGGAUGAGGCUAUAUUGUAUCAGCUAGUUGGUUAGGUAAUGGCUCACCAAGGCUAUGACGCAUAACUGGUCUGAGAGGAUGAUCAGUCACAUUUGAAGGUAGGCACGUUCCAGCCUCCUACGGGAGGCAGCAGUAGGGGACAUUGCUAAAGGGGGGAGACCCUGAAGCAGCAACGCCGCGUGGAGGAUGAUACUUUUCGGAGCGUAAACUCCUUUUGUUACGGAAGCGGUACCUAGCGCAUAAGCACCGGCUAACUCCGUGCCAGCAGCCGCGGUAAUAC
rnacentral:rRNA from 1 species